rnacentral:rRNA from 1 species
UAGGGAAUCUUCCGCAAUGGACGAAAGUCUGACGGAGCAACGCCGCGUGAGUGAUGAAGGUUUUCGGAUCGUAAAACUCUGUUAUUAGGGAAGAACAAAUGCGUAAGUAACUGUGCGCAUCUUGACGGUACCUAAUCAGAAAGCCACGGCUAACUACGUGCCAGCAGCCGCGGUAAUACGUAGGUGGCAAGCGUUAUCCGGAAUUAUUGGGCGUAAAGCGCGCGGAGGCGGUUUCUUAAGUCUGAUGUGAAAGCCCACGGCUCAACCGUGGAGGGUCAUUGGAAACUGGGAAACUUGAGUACAGAAGAGGAAAGUGGAAUUCCAUGUGUAGCGGUGAAAUGCGCAGAGAUAUGGAGGAACACCAGUGGCGAAGGCGACUUUCUGGUCUGUAACUGACGCUGAUGUGCGAAAGCGUGGGGAUCAAACA